GACGAACGCUGGCGGCGUGCUUAACACAUGCAAGUCGAACGGUGAAGCGCCUUCCUUUUUGGUGGGCGUGGAUGAGUGGCGAACGGGUGAGUAACACGUGAGUAACCUGCCCCCUUCUCCUGGAAAACCGCAUGAAAGUGUGGCUAAUACGGGUUAUUCUGGGUCUGUCGCAUGAUGGGUCUGGGAAAGAUAUUGUUUCGGUGGGGGAUGGGCUCGCGGCCUAUCAGCUUGUUGGUGAGGUGAUGGCCUACCAAGGCGGUGACGGGUAGCCGGCCUGAGAGGGUGGACAGUCACACUGGGACUGAGACACGGCCCAGACGCCUACGGGAGGCAGCAGUGGGGAAUAUGGCACAAUGGGCGCAAGCCUGUUGCAGCGGCGCCGCGUGAGGGAUGGAGGCCUUCGGGUUGUGAACCUCUUUCGCCAGUGAAGCAGGCCUGCCUCGUUUGUGGGUGGGUUGACGGUAGCUGGAUAAGAAGCGCCGGCUAACUACGUG
rnacentral:rRNA from 1 species